rnacentral:rRNA from 1 species
UACGUAGGGGGCAAGCGUUGUCCGGAAUCAUUGGGCGUAAAGAGCGUGUAGGCGGCUCGAUAAGUCCGCUGUGAAAGUCCAGGGCUCAACCCUGGAAGGCCGGUGGAAACUGUCGGGCUAGAGUCCGGAAGAGGCGAGUGGAAUUCCCGGUGUAGCGGUGAAAUGCGCAGAUAUCGGGAGGAACACCAAUGGCGAAGGCAGCUCGCUGGGACGGUACUGACGCUGAGACGCGAAAAGCGUGGGGAGCAACAGG